CAUUCCCUCCCACUCUCACAUGAGCCAAGAGGAGUCUCUUGUGUUUACAGCCAGGGAAUGGGAGACAAGCACUGGGCUAGUCUUGGCUCAGCCCAGUUUUUGUUUGUGUUGGACACAUGAUGACACUCCCCUCAUCGGAUCCAAGCAGGUCCCACUUCCUGGUAGGGUUGGUGUGAGUGGAGCUUCCGACUGUGGCCUCACCUUCUCUUUAGGAGAAGCAGCGAGAUGAGGAUUCAGCAGAGAGCGGAUUGCCGAGCUCUCAGCAGGAGCAGUGGAAUAACAUUCUACCUGCAUGUGCUCAUUCCCGUGCGAGGUGCCAAACCCCUGCAAUGGCUGCCUGGCUGCCUCUCUGCUGUUCCCAGACCUUACACGUGAUGCAUUUUCACUUGCCCGUUUCUCCGCUGAAAAGAAAUAAAACAAUAAUAAUGAAAAAAAAAAAAAAAAACGAGGUGUGGAGUUCGUUUGGAAUAAGGAAAAAUAUCAGUGGGAAAACAAACCCCAGCGGACGCUGGAGGGAGUUGGUCAGGUUUGUAAAACGCGUUUGAGAGCUCAGUCCCAUGUGAAAUGUGGAAAAGCCAUCAGGGGCCAUAAAGCCAGCAAGGAUGGGUUUGGUCUGGUUACAGAG